UGAAUACGAGAUGCUACGGCGUCGAAGCAGUGUAUGUCAGACUUCCAAGAAAAGCUCGCAAUGUCAUAAAUAAAGAAUGCCUGUACCAUAACCGACACAGGUGGGUAGGUAGAGUAUACUAAGGGGCGCGAGAUAACUCUCUCUAAGGAACUCGGCAAAAUAACUCCGUAACUUCGGGAGAAGGAGUGCCUUCUUUAAGAAGGUUGCAAUAACAAGAUCCAAGCAACUGUUUAUCAAAAACACAGGUCUCCGCUAAGUCGUAAGACGAUGUAUGGGGGCUGACGCCUGCCCAGUGCCAGAAGGUUAAAGAAGUUGGUUAGCUUUUGCGAAGCUGAUGACUGAAGCCCUGGUGAACGGCGGCCGUAACAAUAACGGUCCUAAGGUAGCGAAAUUCCUUGUCGGGUAAGUUCCGACCCGCACGAAAGGCGUAAUGAUUUGGAUACUGUCUCGGAGAGGGACUCGGUGAAAUAGACUUGUCUGUGAAGAUGCGGACUACCUGCACCAGGACAGAAAGACCCUAUGAAGCUUUACUGUAACUUGAAAUUGAAAUUGGACUUUAUUUGCGCAGUAUAGGUGGAAGGCGUUGAAAGUAAUCUUGCGGGAUUAGUGGAGCCAUCAGUGAGAUACCACUCCUAUAAUGUUAGAUUUCUAACUUUGGAUCAUGAUCUGGUCAAAGAACAGUUUCAGGCGGGCAGUUUGACUGGGGCGGUCGCCUCCCAAAUGGUAACGGAGGCGUACAAAGGUUUCCUCUGAACGGGUAGAAAUCGUAUCUAGAGUGUAAAGGCAUAAGGAAGCUUGACUGUGAGACCUACAAGUCGAGCAGGGACGAAAGUCGGUCUUAGUGAUCUGACGGUGCUGAGUGGAAAGGCCGUCACUCAACGGAUAAAAGUUACUCUAAGGAUAACAGGCUGAUCUCCCCCAAGAGUUCACAUCGACGGGGAGGUUUGGCACCUCGAUGUCGGCUCAUCGCAUCCUGGGGCGGUAGUACGUCCCAAGGGUUGGGCUGUUCGCCCAUGAAAGCGGUACGCGAGCUGGGUUCAGAACGUCGUGAGACAGUUCGGUCCAUAUCCGGUGUAGGCGUUAGAAUAUUGAGAGGAGCCUUCUUUAGUACGAGAGGACCGAGAAGGACAUACCUCUGGUGUACCAGUUAUCGUGCCAACGGUAAACGCUGGGUAGCUAUGUAUGGAGAGGAUAACCGCUGAAAGCAUCUAAGUGGGAAGCCCACCUCAAGAUGAGUAUUCCCAUGGCAGAAGCCAGUAAGGUCACGGGAAGAACACCCGUUGAUAGGCUCUACGUGGAAGC
rnacentral:rRNA from 1 species